rnacentral:rRNA from 1 species
UACGUAGGUGGCAAGCGUUGUCCGGAAUUAUUGGGCGUAAAGCGCGCGCAGGCGGCUCCUUAAGUCUGAUGUGAAAGCCCCCGGCUCAACCGGGGAGGGUCAUUGGAAACUGGGGAACUUGAGUACUGAAGAGGAAAGCGGAAUUCCACGUGUAGCGGUGAAAUGCGUAGAGAUGUGGAGGAACACCAGUGGCGAAGGCGGCUUUCUGGUCAGUAACUGACGCUGAGGCGCGAAAGCGUGGGGAGCAAACAGG